ACUUCGUGGUUAGGGUAUUGCAAAAUCAUUUCAUUAAAUCUAUCCCAUACUUCACAUAGAGGCUCCUCAUUUAGUUCACAAAAAUUUGUGAUUUCAUCUCGCAAUU
rfam:Capsicum annuum cultivar Zunla-1 chromosome 1, whole genome shotgun sequence